rnacentral:rRNA from 1 species
UUGCUGGGUUGGAUGAGUGGCGAACGGGUGAGUAACACGUGAGUAACCUGCCCCCUUCUUUGGGAUAACGGUCGGAAACGGCUGCUAAUACCGGGUAUUCACUGUCCUUCGCAUGGGGGGUGGUGGAAAGGUUUUUUCUGGUGGGGGAUGGGCUCGCGGCCUAUCAGCUUGUUGGUGGGGUGAUGGCUUACCAAGGCUUUGACGGGUAACCGGCCUGAGAGGGUGACCGGUCACAUUGGGACUGAGAUACGGCCCAGACUCCUACGGGAGGCAGCAGUGGGGAAUAUUGCACAAUGGGCGAAAGCCUGAUGCAGCGACGCCGCGUGAGGGAUGACGGCCUUCGGGUUGUAAACCUCUUUCGCUCAUGGUCAAGCCGCAACAGUGGUUGUGGUGAGGGUAGUGGGUAAAGAAGCACCGGCUAACUACGUGCCAGCAGCCGCGGUAAUACGUAGGGUGCGAGCGUUGUCCGGAAUUAUUGGGCGUAAAGGGCUUGUAGGCGGUUUGUCGCGUCUGCCUUGAAAUCCUCUGGCUUAACUGGGGGCGUGCGGUGGGUA